rnacentral:rRNA from 1 species
AUUGAACGCUGGCGGUAGGCCUAACACAUGCAAGUCGAACGGCAGCACAGAAAGAGCUCGUGGUUUCGGGUGGCGAGUGGUGGAUGGGUGAUGGAAAUAUGGGAAGUUACUGUUGAUAGGGGGAGAAAGCGGGCAAUCAUACCGUAUACGUGCAGACGACGAACGGGUGGAAGCUGCGGACCUUCGGCCAUCGCAUGAUCCGAGGUCGGAUUAGCUAGUUGGUGGGGUAAAGGCCCACCAAGGCGACGAUCCGUAGCUGGUCUGAGAGGAUGAUCAGUCACACUGGAACUGAGACACGGUCCAGACUCCUACGGGAGGCAGCAGUGGGGAAUAUUGGACAAUGGGCGCAAGCCUGAUCCAGCCAUGCCGCGUGGGUGAAGAAGGUCUUCGGGUUGUAAAGCCCUUUUGGUGGGAAGGAAGGGCAGCAAGUUAAUACCUUGCUGUUCUGACGUUACCAAAAGAAUAAGCACCGGCUAACUUCGUG